UCAAAAAAUUAAGAAUAGAAUGACCUUAUGACCCAGUAAUUCCUCUCCUGGGUAGCUAUCCAAAGAACUAGAAAACAUUUAUUCACAAAGAUAUAUGCACCCCUAUGCUCAUUGCAGCAUUAUUUAUGGUGACCAAGGCAUGGAGACAACGAAAGUAUCUUACGGUAGAGGAUUAGAUAGAGAAGAUGUGGUACAUAUAUACAAUGGAAUAUUACUCAGCCAUAAGAAAAGAUGAAAUACUUCCAUUUGCAACAACAUGGAUGGACCAUGAGAAUAUUAUGCCAAGUGAAAUAAGUAAGAAAAAGCUAAGAACCAUAUAAUUUCACCCAAAUGUGGGAUAAUAAACUGAAACUUGUGGAUGCAGACAAUAGUGGUGGUUACCAGAGGGAAGGGGGUGAGUGGUGAAAAGGGCUUAAUAUAUGCUGAUGAACAUGAUUUGCCCUUGGGUGGUGGGAACACAGUGCAAUAUACAGAUCUUGUAUCAUGGAAAAGUACACUUGAAACUUUUAUAAUUCUAUUAACCAAUGUCACCCCAAUAAUUUAAUUAAAAAUUGAAAGAAAAAACAUUAUUAUAUACCUGGGUUCUCAAUAGACAGCUAUUGUGAGUUCUUGAAAAGUGGGCCAAGAAAAUGAAGUUUGAGAGACUACAUUCAGAUUUUUGGGCUUAUGAAAUUAAGGAAGGGCAAAAUGCAGGCACCAUGCUGAAGGGGCCAUUAUUUAAAUGAAACCAGUGGGAUAUGAAUAGUAUGGAAAAUGUUAUUAAUAUCUGAAGAAAGGGAUUCUUGGAAUUAGAUCUAUUCAUUCACUUAACUUGUGCUAAACUCUUGCUAAGUUCAGGGGCAUCGGUUUUGGAGGUGACUUUAGAGGUGAUCUAUUACAUGAAUUAGGAAACUGAAUAUCAGAUAAGGGUUGGGACCUGCCCAAUACCACACAGCUGAUUCUGACCAGUGGAGUGCUCUUUCUACCAUAGCUAAGUACCACCUUAUUCACUGACCUCAAUUUCUCUAUUAAACUUGUGUUUAGUGCCUGAGGGGAUCCUCUGGGUAUAGAGCAGCCUAACAGACUACAGGAUCUCUACUAUAGAUCUGCUGUCCCCUACAGUCAAAAGUCAAGAUUUGUCUAGAUCUUUUGCCAGAUACCCAAAUUCCAGGCCUGAGAUUUAAACUUCCCACGCAACCUCUUGCACAGAUUGCACAAUAACUUAAUCAGAAUGGAGGGAGAGUGCCCAAGUAUUCAAGAAGAUACUGUUCCACUAGGGUCCUCUCUUGCCCAUCUAUAUCUGUAUUCCUUUAAAUAGUGUAAGGGCAUGUGCAGAACUUGUGCUAAAGUGCCUAGGCCUUAUUUCCAGCUUGUUUCUUACUCCUGUAGACUUUUAUCUGCACAUACCCACACAGGAUUUCAUCCAGAAAGAGCAAGGUUGAGCCAGGAGUGAGUGACCACCCUAGAUGAUGUUAGGGUCCCCAGUUACCUUAUAAAAUUUUUUUUGGAGCCCUGGGUAGCCCUUUCUCCUCUUCAUAGGUUUAACCUGAAGCCAUGAAAUGGCCAAGCAAUUGCAAAGUUCUGGCUUGGAAGGCUAGGCCUUUCUCUUUGGACCUUAGCAAGGGCAAAAACUCUAAGUUGUACCCAUUCAGCAAUCAUCUCAUCACCAAUUGUCCUUUGGGAGUGGUAAGGAGCAGUAGAAGAGAGCAGGACCCAAAUGGAUAGGGCUAUGCUUUAUCACCCUGUCUACAAACAUACAUCAUCCUGUUAUUGAUGGUAAGGUCUUCACAGUUUUAGACAGUCAACAGUAUGUUUUCAUUUCAGUUUCAAUCUGACAAGCAUUUAUUGAGUGUCAGGCAUUAAGUGUCCAGGAAACAGAGAUAAAUACAAUAUAAUUGCCUUCAAACAGCACAUAGUUAUGUACAUUUUUAUUGAAGACCAGCAUAACACCUAUAUCAGACAUAGCAAAGAGACUAACUGCAGAGGAAAGUGUUUGAGAAUAAAGAACAAGUGACAUAGUUAUGGAAAUCCCCUGACCACCAGACCUGCCAGCAAUUCUCCCUUCUCUGAUUAGAAGGCAACUCGGGGUACAAUGCAAAGAGCACAGAGUAUGAAUUAGGAGAUUUGGGUGUCUAAUCCCAGCAUUGCAAUUAAUCCAUAUGCAUCAAGCAAAUCAAUGGACUAAUCUGGUGAUACUCAGUAUCCUAACUCUAAAUUGAGGUGCCAUUAAACACUUUUUUAGUUCUCUUCCAUCUUUAAAAUGGAGUCAAUCUAGGAAGGCUUACUGGAAGAAGUGCAAUUUCAGUGUUAAAAAAUGGGAAAACAUUGUUAUUGUUAUUGUUCUGGGAAAGGUAUCUCUGUUAUGCAGUAUCAUCUGGGAAAAAUAGAGGUGGGAAGGAGUGGAGAAAGGCAGAAAAUGGAGACGAAGGGUUUGAACAGAUAUUGUGAACAAGUAGUGUAGGAAUUGGUUAAGCUGGAGCUCGAGUGCAGGAAGGCCUUUGGACCCAGUUCUGGAAGAUCAUACCUAAAGGCAUGAUAGUUUAUAGUGGGGAACUUGAAACAGACCUGGCAGAGGGAAUCCAGAUGUUUGGAUGGUUUCCCUAAAGCAAGUCCCCUCCACCCCCAACUUGGCAGGAUUGCCCUGACCUCAGAAUUAAAUGCAGCUUACCACCAGCUGCAUUUUUAGAAGGAGAAAUGGUAGUGUAGCAAAACUGAGACAGUAAUUUCUCAUAGGUUGGAACUGCUUGCCCUAAAUUGAGGAAACCAGAUUUAAAAAGAAGUCCUCUCUUCAGAUUCCCUCAGUAACAGCUGUGGGCAGCCCAGGUGUGGCUGGCAGAUACCCUGUCACCAAGGUGACCCAUAGUAACUCCUACACAGAGCUCAUCCUCCAAUCUGUGGAGAAGGCAUCAUCAAUUUUUUUUUCCUUCUUGGCCUUGAUUCCACUUGUUAUUAUCAACAGUCACUGAGUCUUAUGUUUGGAACUAACUAGUGGACUUUGAACACAGCUGGGCACUGAGGAUGAAAAAAGUCAGAAGUAUCCUCCCCUGUUUUCCCCUAUUCACUAUCCUACCAGGAAAGGGAUGGAAUGUAUACAAAUAACUCAAAAUAUACAUUUCAUUCAGUGUGGUGGAGGCACUGAGUAGAAGAGGGGAAGAGGAUAGAAAGGUAAGAACUGUAAUGAAAGGAACACAAUAAGGAAAGGAGAAAGAGAGAAAUCAGGAAAUUUGACUAAGAAACAGGAGUUGGAAAAAUAAAAGUAGAAGAAAGAAGUAGAGCAAAAGAAAAAGAGAAGCAAGGAAAUAGGAUUCUGAGGCAAGCAACAAAGCUAAGGCUGCUACAAGGAGAAGGACAGGUGGCCCAGAGCAGGCAGCUGAGACAGGAAACAAAGGAGAAUGCGGGGGAGGGGACUACAGCAAAGGGGAUCUUGGGAGACUGGAGGGAAAGGCCAGGCAGAAAAUAGCCACGGAAGGAAGCAGGGAAGAGAGAAGAUAAACAUCAGGAUAAGGAGGGAGAGAGAUAUGGCCUGAAAAAGGGAGAAAACAAGGUAGCAAAAGAGGAGGCCCAAAGUGUGAGAGGACAAGAAGAGGGGAAUUGGGAGCAAAGGAAAGAGAGAGGAGAGGGCAGGCAAAAACUGGCAGAAACUAGGAGGGGGCCAAAGAAGAGGCAUGCAUGGCUGGUUUAAUGAGCCACUCUCCUCUCCUACUCCCCAGAGAAAGUGCAGUCAAUUAUGCCUUCAUCCUCCUGGGCUGGAGGAUGUCAGGUGGUCUGAAGAAAUGCCCUCACCAAGCAAAAUAGCAGAGGACAUAGGGCAGGGGAAGGUAGGAGUACUUAGUUGGCAGGAUGACAGAGGGACCCCUUCCCUGGAUCAACCAGGUCUCCCUCAGACUGCUGGCCUGCACGCUGCCAGCCUCAAGGGGUGGUGGUAGGGGACACACUUAUUUUGCUUAGCAUGUGGGCUCUGCUGUCCUUUCUGGGAAGUCAAGAGAGCCUAAGGCUUUGAGAGAAGGGGAAAGCUGAGGGAAGAGCUACAUGCAGAGGUUUCCUUUCCCCAGCACCUUCAUGGGGCCUUUCUCUCAGUCCAGUACUAUCUGGUACUAUUGCUUCACCUUUGAAUCUCAGAGGCAAGGAAAGCAAUCCAGGGGCAAGUGAACCUUCAGCCACAGGUGGCUUAAGCUUUCUCCCUGCUCCUGUUCUGUUGGAUAAUAUAGAAACUGACUAAAAUGUACUAACCACACCCUGGAUUUACUUAUCUGGGCUCA